rnacentral:rRNA from 1 species
AAGGGCACCACAAGAACGCGUGGAGCAUGUGGCUUAAUUUGACUCAACGCGGGAAAUCUUACCGGGUCCGGACACACUGAGGAUUGACAGGCAAUAAAGUGUUUUUAGAGUGUAUAUAAUAUAAUUUAUUUUAUAUUUUUCUCUUUAAUUCACUUUUUUUAAAUUAUGCUAGUCCUUUCAUGAUUAUGUGGUAGGUGGUGCAUGGCCGUUCUUAGUUCGUGGAGUGAUCUGUCUGCUUAAUUGCGUUUCGCACUGGAUUUAUUUACUUUAAAUUAUGUAUGCAGUAUCAUAUUUCCAAUUUGAUUUUAAACUUUGUUUAUAUUUCAUUUUGAGAAAUUGGUAUCUUUUUGUGUACGCUGAAUCCUGAAAGCAACGAACGUGACCG